CUCGAACAUUUCCAGUUAGAUACUGCUCGUCGUUCUUCUAGGAGGUUUCUCACACAAUAAGAUAAUGUUGAAAUUCAAAAUAAUCUUUGGGUUUUUAUUCGCUACAAUAAUUUACUCCCAGGCAUUUUUAACGAAACCACAACUGACGAAGCUUCACACCGAUUUUGAAAAAUGUGAUGCCGAAUUAAACGUUUCAUCUAGCCUGCACUUUGAGGAGCAUGCCGAACACCUGGAUUCAAUUCCAAACAGUUCGAUUUUUUUCAAGGUGCUCAUUUGCGUGUACAAGCGGGUAAACUUUGUGGAUAGCAACGGAAAUAUUAUCGUGCAAAAUAUGUUGGAUUUUUUGCGCGAGGAGCACAACGUGACGGAAAUGAAAACUUUUAUUGAAAAAUGCCUGCCACACACAGGGACUCCCGAAGAGAAGAUGCGCUUUUUUUACACGUGUGCUUCCAAAAAACGCGCUGAAGUUUUGAAAUAAUACAUAGAUACUUUUAGAACGAAA